CCCCGACACUCCUCCCAUCAUGGCCUGGUGAUGGCACAGGUGGCAGCCAGCUGGACAGCUGCCCUUUUCCUCACAGCGGAUCUCCACGCCGUUCACCAUGUCGUCAGACAACAGCUGGCUCUUCUGCAGUGCCGUCAGUGAGAAAACAACACACCAUGCAGAAAGAAGAGGCAGCGACAGCAGCAGGAGAGGAGAAGAAACAGGAGAGAAUGCUACUUGGGUGUUGAGUGUUUCACUUGGAGGACACAUCAGGCCACAUGUUACAGUGGAGCAGAUCUGCCAUCUGUGCUGAUGUGGCAGAUGUGCUUUUGUGUCUAUUUGCUUUACAAGAACAGAGCCACAUAUGUGUGUUUUCCAAAUGAGUGAUACAGGACUCUUUCUAGUGACAAAAAAAGUGCAUUAUAGUUGGAAUUACUGGCUUAUGAUGUAGCUUUGAGAUAUUAUGCAUCAUCAGUCAGUGCUACAAAAUAUAUAGAUAUUGCAGUUUAAAACACUGAAUAUGUAUCAUACUUAUAUAUAACUCACACAAAACAGACUAAAUAUACACAGACAGACCAAGAAAAAACAAGGGAGACCCCAAACCUGAAGGAAAUGGGUAAGACAGCAGGAAAAUCCCUUGACAUUAUUUAAGGUGGGGUAAUUGGGACCAAUUAGGGUUAAUAUUUUAAAUGACUUAUUUCCUGUUAACAGUUUUAAUGACAGUGAACUCGAAUAUCCUUUAAACUAUUGUCCAUGGCAAAAAGACAAUGAUCUCAAAUAGUGUAUGUGUGUUUGUGAGAGACUGAGAGAAACAAGUCUAAAUGUGUCUACAUGUGCAAUUUCACUUGGACUCCUGUAAUAUCAACAAUGUUAAAUAAGUUAACCCAAGACAUGAAAAGAGCGUGUAAACUUUCAACCACUCAUUUCUCAAACACAAACACAUGCCGACACAUGUGCUUUACCCGCAGUCAUUUAACCACUCUGAGAAAAACAUAACCCAGGUGGGGAUGUUUUCAAGGACUAUUUUCUAACUAAUAUUAUUUGCAGGGGAAAAUCACAUAGGUGUCAAGUUGAUGUGACAUUUCAACCACACAAAUGCAGCAUGUAAAAAUAAUUUAUUUACAAUACAUCUCAAAUUAGUUUUAAAUUUUGAUUGAUCAAGUAAAAGGCCUUGAUGUAACUCAAAACUGCAAAAAGUUUUGCUUCCUGUUGUACUGUUGACAUCAUAAAAGUAACAAGCAGAAAUCAUGUGAAUACAGAGCAUGCAAAACUGUAAUAAAAAAUCUGUGUUAUGUUGUAUUGUUAAAAGCCUAAUAAGAAAUUACUGCACACAACUGACUUUAUGUUAAUAAUUAACAUGUGCAUAGAAAGUCCCUACAUGAUUAAUGGCCACACUUUAGCUAAUUAAAAGUAUACUGAAUAUUCUAAAAGAAGCUCACAUUCAGUUUAAAAUUAUGAAAAUAUAUAAUGGGUAAAAACAAAGAAAAUGUGAAGUUGCUUUUAACUUUUAGUAGUAUAGUAUAGUAUAUAGUAUAGUUUUUUGGCUACCUGAACCAUAUGUAACUCACUAGUAAAAGUACAUAAUACUGGCGAGAAAUGCAGCAUUAUGAGAAGACAACAUGAGGGAAGAAAAUGGAUGUAUAGCUAAUUGGCUAGACUAAACAACCAAGUUGAAGCAACAAUUCACUGCCAUAGAAAAGAAAAAAUGGUUGUAGACAAUUUUUGGGGCAUUACUGGGGUCAUGAGUUGAGUGGAGAUCCUGGUAAGGGAGAUAAGAAACAUAUUUAUCUAACAUAUCUAAAAUAUAUUAGUAUCAGCUUUUAAUAAAACAACCUAUAAUGUGUAAUAUUCAAUUAUUAAAUGUAAACUGCACCUCAAGUCACUGAAACUUCCAAAUUCACAGAUAAAACACCACAGACAUGACCUUUAGCUGUGGCUAGUUAGUCUAAUUGACUUUCACCCCCUUAACUCAUUUAACCCCAAAUUACAAUUGUUCACAUCUAUGUAAACAAAUGCAUUUCAUGAAAGAUUUGGCACUGUAAAGUAUUUCUGGAGAAAAUAAAACACAGCCAAGGUAACGUGAGUCUUUCUCCCUGCACAAUCUUGUUUCCCCUAUUUUUUAUUUACUUUUGGACUUGUUUUCAUUAAGUGUCCUUACCGUAAAUCUUGUUUUGAGACUGGUAGCAAACUGCUGUAGCAUAUCAUUUCCAUCUGGGAUCACUAAAGUACUUUGUGUGUCUGUUUAUUUGUGUUUGUGCAAUGUACAGUUUAAUUGACAUUUGACCAAUGGUGACACCCUUCACAAGGACAAAUUAAACUGGACUACAUGUUGCUACUUUUGUGCACUUAAA